UUCGGGGGCAGAGUGACAGGUGGUGCAUGGUUGUCGUCAGCUCGUGUCGUGAGAUGUUGGGUUAAGUCCCGCAACGAGCGCAACCCUUGAUCUUAGUUGCCAUCAUUAAGUUGGGCACUCUAAGGUGACUGCCGGUGACAAACCGGAGGAAGGUGGGGAUGACGUCAAAUCAUCAUGCCCCUUAUGACCUGGGCUACACACGUGCUACAAUGGACGGUACAAAGAGUCGCAAGACCGCGAGGUGGAGCUAAUCUCAUAAAACCGUUCUCAGUUCGGAUUGUAGGCUGCAACUCGCCUACAUGAAGCUGGAAUCGCUAGUAAUCGCGGAUCAGCAUGCCGCGGUGAAUACGUUCCCGGUCUUGUACACACCG
rnacentral:rRNA from 4 species